rnacentral:hammerhead_ribozyme from 1 species
AUCCAACUGACGAGUCCCAAAUAGGACGAAACGCGCUUCAAACUAGAU